GUGCCAGCCGCCGCGGUAAUACGGGGGGCGCAAGCGUUGUCCGGAAUCACUGGGCGUAAAGCGCGCGUAGGCGGCCAGGUCAGUCACCUGUGAAAUCCCGGAGCUCAACUUCGGGCCUGCAGGUGAUACUGCUUGGCUAGAGCAUGGUAGAGGCAAGUGGAAUUCCCGGUGUAGCGGUGGAAUGCGUGGAUCUCGGGAAGAACACCAGUGGCGAAGGCGACUUGCUGGGCCAUUGCUGACGCUGAGGCGCGAAAGCGUGGGUAGCAAACAGGAUUAGAUACCCUGGUAGUCCACGCCGUAAACGAUGGGUACUAGGCGUCGGGGGGAGCGACCCCUUCGGUGCCGCCGCUAACGCAGUAAGUACCCCGCCUGGGAAGUACGGCCGCAAGGCUGAAACUCAAAGGAAUUGACGGGGGCCCGCACAAGCGGUGGAGCAUGUGGUUUAAUUCGAUGCAACGCGAAGAACCUUACCUGGGCUUGACAUGUGCGGGAAAGCCGGUAGAAACAUCGGCCCCUCUUCGGAGUCCGUACACAGGUGCUGCAUGGCUGUCGUCAGCUCGUGUCGUGAGAUGUUGGGUUAAGUCCCGCAACGAGCGCAACCCUCGCCCUUAGUUGCCAGCGGUUCGGCCGGGGACUCUAGGGGGACUGCCGGUGUCAAACCGGAGGAAGGUGGGGAUGACGUCGAGUCAGCAUGGCCCUUAUGCCCAGGGCUACACACGUGCUACAAUGGCCGGUACAGAGCGUCGCUAGCUCGCGAGAGUCUGCUAAUCGCAAAAAGCCGGUCUAAGUUCGGAUUGCAGUCUGAAACUCGACUGCAUGAAGUUGGAAUCGCUAGUAAUCGUGGAUCAGCUACGCCACGGUGAAUACGUUCCCGGGCCUUGCACACACCGCCCGUC
rnacentral:rRNA from 1 species